CCGCCCACUGAGGGCCUGCUUAGCGUCAGCCCCGAGGCGGGGCUCCCCUCGGGUUGGUGCUGUCCUUUCCCCUGCGGCCUCUGCUCUGGCGGCAGUACGUGGGCCGAGCUCUAGACACGUGCGGGAUGACUUGAAAGUAGGGCAUCCUUGGCCUUACGGAAGAGAGUAAAUUCACGGCAUGUGGACGGUCUGUAUGGCGUUCUCAGAUGCCUUUAUCUGAGUGAGAAAUCUGCCUCCAUCAGAAUCUCAGAUGUCUGACAGCCCUGUGUGACACCAGGAUAGAGAAAGAGAGUGCAAGCCGGGGAAGGACAGAUGAUCCAAAGAGGGCUCUGC